rnacentral:rRNA from 1 species
GAUGAACGCUGGCGGCGUGCCUAAUACAUGCAAGUCGAGCGAACGGACGAGAAGCUUGCUUCUCUGAUGUUAGCGGCGGACGGGUGAGUACACGUGGAUAACCUACCUAUAAGACUGGGAUAACUUCGGGAAGCCGGAGCUAAUACCGGAUGAUAUUUUGAACCGCAUGGUUCAAAAGUGAAAGACGGUCUUGCUGUCACUUAUAGAUGGAUCCGCGCUGCAUUAGCUAGUUGGUAAGGUAACGGCUUACCAAGGCAACGAUGCAUAGCCGACCUGAGAGGGUGAUCGGCCACACUGGAACUGAGACACGGUCCAGACUCCUACGGGAGGCAGCAGUAGGGAAUCUUCCGCAAUGGGCGAAGGCCUGACGGAGCAACGCCGCGUGAGUGAUGAAGGUCUUCGGAUCGUAAAACUCUGUUAUUAGGGAAGAACAUAUGUGUAAGUAACUGUGCACAUCUUGACGGUACCUAAUCAGAAAGCCACGGCUAACUACGUG